ACUGCAUAGGGAGACCUUUUUGUCUCAAAAAGACCAAAAAAAAAACUAAUUUGCAGUAAUUUUACUUUUGGAAGAGGUUUCUCCUUUUUCCCUUACAGUUGAGCAGAGUGGAACUGUAAAAAUUGCAUUUGAAGUCGUAUCCAUAUCCUCUCAAAGUACCUUCCUAAAACAAAGGUAAACAGUAGGGAAAUACAAGGCCCUUUCCAGAGCGGGCCCAGUCCGGUUUUAUCUGCUUUCCUUUGUGCAUUGACAGAGCUCUGAGCACGCCUGGAUCUCCGGUCCCGGCAGCUUCCCCCACCGCGUGAAUACCUUCCUCCUCAGCCUGCCUUCCCAGGUGCCUAAGGCAACAUCGAGCCCUAACCUUUAGCUCCUUUCAAGUAAGACCCGCGGUAGAAUCCCAAGGCCAGAAGAGAACUCAGGCAGCCCUGUGGUUUAUUUCCACGCCAUUUAAACCCUUUCCCUGUUCAGACAAACUAAGCAGUUGCCUUUCUGAUUCUGGUUUUGCAGCCCUCUGGGGGUCCAGAGGAAAAGAAGCAGAUGGGUAGGGCUUAGGUUGGUCACCGCUGGAGUGGAGCCAGGUGCAGUGGUGCACACCUGUAAUUCUAGCACUCCGGGAGGCUGAGGCAGGAGGAUCCCCAUAAAUUUGAGCCAGGCUGGGCUACAUAGUGAGACCCUACCUCAAAAAAAAAGAGUAGAGUAGAUUUGCUGUUAACAUCUUCUAAAGACAACUGCUACAGAUGCCCUUGCCUCCCAUUGAGGCUGACGCUGUCGCGAGUGCUCAAGUGUAACAGAAUCCCGCCUGGGCCAUCCAAGGUGCUAAGCCAUACUUGCGUGUUAGCAUCAUGUAAGGAAGAGAGAGGGUUCUGCCGUUCUUGCUGUGGUUAUAUUUUGUGUCAGACCUCGUGCUGUGUAAUGGCUACUUAGACUAGCGUGCCCUUAGGUAAGUUUUACAGGGCAGCCUCUUUUUAUUAAUGUUUUGAGACACAAUCUCCCUGGCAGCGAUGCUCCUGCCUCGGCCUCCUACGUGCUGGGACAGACCUGGGCCCCCACGCGCAGCUAAGAACACACGUUUUUACCCUUGUUCAGUAGCUGAUGAAACCAAGGCUCAGUGGUUGCAGAGACCGCACAGCUCCGGUCUGGUGCAGCUGGGGUUAAAGUCCCGGAUGUGACCCAAGCGUAUAAAGUGCGCGGGGAAUCCUCACGUCACAGAGGCAAAUGAGGGUCAAAGGCCUCGGCUAGGGACUCAAUCCCAGUGGAGUACUACUCAGCCAUAAGGAGAAGCUUGAGACCUUUCUGGUAAACGCAUGCAUCGUGAGGCCAUUCUCUUAAGUAAGAUACAUCGGACACCCGUGUCAAUACCGCACUGUACCUCUGGUGUAAGAAACCGAAAGUCCACAUUAUUCUCAGCAAAAGCCACAGCCCCAACACAAGCACCAUCCUCGGCAAACACAGGACAGGAGGUCGUAAAGGAGAGAUACGCAGAGCUCGGGUCUCCCAGCCAGGACACCUGAUCACAGCCAUGCAUUCGUCCUGGCUGCCCUGACCUCUGCCCGUCACAGCCCUCAUAUGAGGUCCCGGCCUGACCCCGACAGGACACUUCGCCCUUUCCCAAGCCCCAAGGAAGGCCCUGUGCAGGGUAAGCGCAGUGAGUGGCUCACCAGGGACUUGCAAGGGCAGCCUGACUCCCUGUGCCCGGAGGGAAGCCCAGAGAGGACAGGCAGGCCGGCUCCGGGCAGUGGGCACGUGGAGGGAAGGAGCUGGAGGAGCCGGGGUCUUUGCCUGGGAGAACACAAGCGCGGGGUCUCCAGUGCUGUGCUCGAGGCCUUCUUGUCACGAGAGCUGCAGAAGUGGCUUCCGUUACGAGCGAUCGGGCACCUCGUGAGACGGAGGCGACAUCUGCUUUCAUACGGCUCUUUGUCAGAGAAGCAAAACAUCUGGUCAGUUCCAUUGGAUUACACAGCGACAGGCUCUCUGUGCCAGGGAAAGCAGCGCAAAAAACUGGGCAACGUUGGGGACCACUGCAAAGCGGCUCUGAGCUGGACUUCAUGUCAACCAACUGGCUCUCCGUGUUUACUUGUGAGUUGUCUGAGUUAGGCACCUUGCCUGAAGAUGGGCAGUGGACUCACAGUAAGUGA